CAGCUGAGUUUCUCGCUGGGCGCGGUGGCAUGUGCCUGUAAUCCAAGUCACUGGGAGGCUGAGGUUGGUGGAUCAAGUGAGCUGAGGAGCUCUGGGCUGCUGCACGCUACGUUGAACGGGUGUCCACGCUAAGUUCAGUAUCGUUAUGGUGAUCCUGGGGGAGCCCGGGACCACCAGGUUGUCUAAGGAGGGGUGCACCGGCCCAGGUCGGAAACGAAGCAGGUCAAAUCCCCUGUGCUGUCCAGUAGUGGGAUAAUACCUGUGAGUAGAUGCUGCAGUGCAGCCUUGGCAAGACAUCGUGACCUAACCUUUUCAUUUUGUAAAAACGUACUUUUAUCUGCUUCACGAAUUGCCACUUCGAAAUGUUUGUCAGACCAUGAAAAGUCGACAAUUAUUUGCAGCUUUCCAAUAUUCGAGAAUUAUACUGACUACUACUGACGAAAUGUGUGAAUACCGGUAACAUAAUGCAGCACGGACCGUUGAGUUAGUAGUAAGUGCUAGCGCGAUGCUUAGCAUGAAACUGAGGCCAGCUCUCCCAUCACCAUCGACAGUUCACAUAGGUUCAUUUACCUGUGUGAAAUGAGCCACAAUAAUGAUUAGUCAAAUCGGUGGAAUUUGAGAUUCACCUUCAAAUUAAAAGUCCCUCAUUGAAGGUGAUGCAAACGAAUACAAAAAGUGGAAUCAUGUCAUAUGUUUGUACUAGAUUAAGUUAUACAAGGUUGGAAUGUUGUUACAUAAUUUAAAAUACAAUUAUUAAUAUAUUUAACAAAAAACAGAAAACAAUUGAAAUCACACUGUGGAUAUUUUAGACUGCAUAAUUGCAUUGGGCAUACUUGUAUGCACUGUACAGCCUUGCCUUAACUAUUUUUAAUUUGACCUUUAUUUAACUAGGCAGGUCAGUUAAGAAAAAAUUAUUGUUUUCAGUGACAGCCUAUGAACAGUGGGUGGGCUUUAUUCAGGGGUAGAGUGACAGAUUUUUUACUUUGUCAGCUCAGGGAUUUGAUCUUGCAACCAUUCAGUUACUAGUCCAACAGUCUAACCACUAGGCUACCUGCCACCGUGCUAUGGAAGGUGCAGCCAUGAAAUGGAGUAUCAGUAUACUCAGUGACCCCCACAGAACACCAUUUUCAAUGGUUUACAGAAAUAUUAGUGUCUCCGCUCUUAUUUCAGGACUUUGACUGUGGGAAAUCACCUGACUAUUCAGCCUAUUGUGCGUAUCGGAAAUCCAUAUUGCACUCAGCCUUACCUAUGGAUUGUGAACCGAUGAAAUGGGGUAUCAGCCUACUCAGUGACACCCAUUUGGACCAUUUUCCUGUCCUGCUAAGCAUUGAAAAUGUACCGAGAACUUUUUGGUGUCAGGGAAAACGUAUGGAGUAAAAAGUAGAUUAUUUUCUUUAGGAAUGUAGUGAAUUAAAAGUAAAAGUUGUAAAAAAUACAAAUAGUAAAUAAAGUACAGAUACCCCCCAAAACAAAUUCAUUAGUACUUUAAAGUAUUUUAUUUAAGUACUUUACACCACUGCCCAUUAUUUCACAACAGUUCAGUGAGCUAUGUACUAGCCUUGAUCUAUUUGCACCAUCUAGUGCUAAGAGUUUAUAGUUAGUUUGUAGUGAUUUUGCCUUAACAACCUUUUACUGCAGUGAGCUAAAUUAGGGUCACACAAAGUGUUUCUUGGUAGUCCUAAACACAUCUACUUUGAAACCAAAGUAUACACCACACACACAUGGUUAUGGGCUUAAAAAAAAGAAGGCACAUGUACCAUGUCAGAUAUAGAGUUGAAAAUAAUGUAGUGUUAAAGCCUUCACAUAUUUGAUUCAUAGCUUUGUAUUCAUCUGGAACUUCCCUGAGGAUGCCAAUAGCAUUCAUCUAGACAAAGCUACUCCCAUGCUGGUCAAAACUCCUCCUGUGCCUACUUUAGCCUCCUAUAACUGGCCUCUGAUGACUAAUUCGAACUGGUUGGACCUAUAACCCCAGGGCGCAAGUUCCUAACCACCCUUUGUGGUAAUUUCUGUCGUAUGCAUCCUUUGCUGGUACUAGCCCACCCUUCAGUUAUAGGUGCUGUGAGGUUAAGAAUUUUCUAUUAAUCUUUCAAACCUAAUUCAGUCAAAUUAACGAUUACUUUCAGCCAUUAAAAUCAUCUAAGUUCUCGGUGACAUUCUUGUAUCUAUAACACUGGUACUCAUCAGGAGUUAAGGUGAACCGAGGUGGGUUGGCUAAGCACUUCUAUCUGGCCAACCCCAAUUCCUGUACAGUAGUCUGCUUUCCCAGGAAAUUGUUUAAUGUUUACCUUAAAUUCUACAUCUUGAUUUUCUUUAAUGCCUUAUUCUGUAUGUCACUCAUCAGUGUAUUAUAUAGUUUAUCUUUUCAUUUUUAUAAAUGACAACGGUGUCGUAUGAUUGGUGUCUUAUGAUUAGUACCGGAAGGUGGUGGAUCUGAAUGUAUCAGAAAGAUUAGACUAUGAUGCAGCUCAGAGCCUCUACUCUUACCAAAAACCGCCAACCCUCUCCUGUCCUUAGUCAAUCUGCUAGGUACCACCCCAUACUCACACCUCUAGGAGCACACACAGUGAUGAACGGUCGGGAUAGGGAAUCUUCGUUAAGGAGGUAGCCCCCGGACCCUGUUGGUACUCAGUUCUUCUCCUAACUCUGUGUGAUCAGCAGUGCUCAUAUGUGUACAUACCUUCUUGCAGUGGAUAACGUGGACCCAAGUGACUCUCUCAGCUUCUCUAAUGGCAAAGGCAGUGGUUUAACAGAACCUGGUAUGGGCCUUCCCAACGGGGCUGCUUCCAGUCUUUUCUCCUCAGGGACUGGAUCCACACCCAGUCUCCUGGUUGUACUGAGUGAAUCACCUUCUCCUGUAAUUCACCUGUUGGACAAAAAAUCUUGGACAUACGGGUUUGGUUAACAAACAGUCUUUUCAUGUGCUCUAGUAUUUCUUCAACUUCUAUGUCUACCUGUUCUGGUAUCUCUAACUCUGGCAUUCUAUAGGCUCUACCUGAUUAGCUAAAAUGUCAUCCAUCAUUUAAAGAGAUGGCUCCUAGUAAACCAACUCUAGGGAUCAUAUCUUGACUUAAUAUUUUAGCUACCAUAAUCAUGUCCACCAAGUAAGUUGGGAACGCUUCUACCCAUUUGCUAUACUUAUCUAUUAUUGUUAAACACCCCUUCUUCCCCUCAAUUUGGAAUAGUUCACUAAGUCCAUUUCCAAAUGUUGGAAUGGAUAUUCUACAAAAAAUGUUUUUGUUUAAGUAAUAUCCUAACCUGUUCUAUCGCCUGCUCUACCAUACUCCCCCUAUUUAUACAUGGCUCAAGCCAUGUAUCAAUAUUGCUGCAUAUCUAAACAAAUUAUCCUUAUGUCAGCCCUUCUCUUGUAGGAUUGCCCCCUUUCAUUUUCCACAUGUCCAAUUCUCCCUGGGGCAUUCAUCCUUAGCUACCCUGUAACAAUUCUCUGUCAAGUGUCUUAUUUAAGAUUUAUCUGUGCUGCUUUGUAUGGUUUUAAAUGCCUAUGUGCUUGUCUGUGUAAAUAGUCAUAUCUCUUCUUAGCGAAUUUACCAAACAUAAACUUAAAAUCAAAACUAAAAUACAUGCCAAAUGGAGCCGAUAGUCUCUCCAUGAAUUAAUAUCAUAACUAAGCGAACCAAACUAAAUUAUCUUCCUAUCUUCUAUUCUUAUUAUGUAUUUUCUGUCUGUCCCAGUAUUAUUUCUGUCCUCACCUGUGUCAUGACGUUGGCCUCUUUUGGUACAGGGAGGACAGUUGACCCCCUCCCUUUUGCACCACCACCCAACCUACCUUCCCCCCAAUCCACCCUGUGUGUAAAGGGUUGUAAAAACUCUAAAAUUCCAGGAGAGUCUCUGGCCACAUGGCCCAUAGAGAGACACAGGAAAUUCUUCCAACUCAUAGAAUUGGAGAGCCAAGCGACAUUUUGUGUUCUGGAGAAGGUAUGGAAGAUUGGUGAAG
rnacentral:lncRNA from 1 species